UAAGUUAAUAAGGGCGCACGGUGGAUGCCUUGGCACUAGGAGCCGACGAAGGACGUGACAAACGACGAUAUGCCUUGGGUAGCUGUAAGUAAGCGAUGAUCCAGGGAUUUCCGAAUGGGGGAACCCAACAGGUAAUACCUGUUACCUACAUCUGUUAAGGAUGUGAGGAGGAAGACGCAGUGAACUGAAACAUCUAAGUAGCUGCAGGAAGAGAAAGCAAAAGCGAUUGCCUUAGUAGCGGCGAGCGAAACGGCAGAAGGGCAAACCGAAGAGUUUACUCUUCGGGGUUGUAGGACUGCAAUGUGGACUCAAAGAUUAUAGAAGAAUGAUUUGGGAAGAUCAGCCAAAGAGAGUAAUAGCCUCGUAUUUAAAAUAGUCUUUGUACUUAGCAGUAUCCUGAGUACGGCGGGACACGUGAAAUCCCGUCGGAAUCUGGGAGGACCAUCUCCCAACCCUAAAUACUCCCUAGUGACCGAUAGUGAACCAGUACCGUGAGGGAAAGGUGAAAAGCACCCCGGGGGGGGAGUGAAAUAGAACCUGAAACCGUGUGCCUACAACAAGUUCGAGCCCGUUAAUGGGUGAGAGCGUGCCUUUUGUAGAAUGAACCGGCGAGUUACGUUAUGAUGCGAGGUUAAGUUGAAGAGACGGAGCCGUAGGGAAACCGAGUCUGAAUAGGGCGCCUUAGUAUCAUGACGUAGACCCGAAACCAUGUGACCUACCCAUGAGCAGGUUGAAGGUGCGGUAAGACGCACUGGAGGACCGAACCAGGGCACGUUGAAAAGUGCUUGGAUGACUUGUGGGUAGCGGAGAAAUUCCAAACGAACUUGGAGAUAGCUGGUUCUCUCCGAAAUAGCUUUAGGGCUAGCGUCGACAUUAGAGAUUCUUGGAGGUAGAGCACUGUUUGGGUGAGGGGUCCAUCCCGGAUUACCAAUCUCAGAUAAACUCCGAAUGCCAAUGAAUUAUGGUCGGCAGUCAGACUGCGAGUGCUAAGAUCCGUAGUCGAAAGGGAAACAGCCCAGACCACCAGCUAAGGUCCCAAAAUAAUUGUUAAGUGGAAAAGGAUGUGGGGUUGCACAGACAACUAGGAUGUUAGCUUAGAAGCAGCUAUUCAUUCAAAGAGUGCGUAAUAGCUCACUAGUCGAGUGACCCUGCGCCGAAAAUGUACCGGGGCUAAAACAAUUUACCGAAGCUGUGGAUACCUUUAUAGGUAUGGUAGGAGAGCGUUCUAUGUGUGAUGAAGGUAUACCGUGAGGAGUGCUGGAACGCAUAGAAGUGAGAAUGCCGGUAUGAGUAGCGAAAGACAGGUGAGAAUCCUGUCCACCGUAAGACUAAGGUUUCCAGGGGAAGGCUCGUCCGCCCUGGGUUAGUCGGGACCUAAGGAGAGACCGAAAGGUGUAUCCGAUGGACAACAGGUUGAUAUUCCCGUACUAGAGUAUGUAGUGAUGGAGGGACGCAGUAGGCUAACUAAAGCAGACGAUUGGAAGAGUCUGUCUAAGCAGUGAGGUGUGAAUUGAGUCAAAUGCUUAAUUCUAUAACAUUGAGCUGUGAUGGGGAGCGAAGUUUAGUAGCGAAGUUAGUGACGUCACACUGCCAAGAAAAGCUUCUAGCGUUUAAACAUACUCUACCCGUACCGCAAACCGACACAGGUAGUCGAGGCGAGUAGCCUCAGGUGAGCGAGAGAACUCUCGUUAAGGAACUCGGCAAAAUGACCCCGUAACUUCGGGAGAAGGGGUGCUGACUUAAAGUCAGCCGCAGUGAAUAGGCCCAAGCAACUGUUUAUCAAAAACACAGCUCUCUGCUAAAUCGUAAGAUGAUGUAUAGGGGGUGACGCCUGCCCGGUGCUGGAAGGUUAAGAGGAGUGCUUAGCGUAAGCGAAGGUAUGAAUUGAAGCCCCAGUAAACGGCGGCCGUAACUAUAACGGUCCUAAGGUAGCGAAAUUCCUUGUCGGGUAAGUUCCGACCCGCACGAAAGGCGUAAUGAUUUGGGCACUGUCUCAACGAGAGACUCGGUGAAAUUUUAGUACCUGUGAAGAUGCAGGUUACCCGCGACAGGACGGAAAGACCCCAUGGAGCUUUACUGCAGUUUGAUAUUGAGUGUCUGUACCACAUGUACAGGAUAGGUAGGAGUCUAAGAGAUCGGGACGCCAGUUUCGAAGGAGACGCUGUUGGGAUACUACCCUUGUGUUAUGGCCACUCUAACCCAGAUAGGUGAUCCCUAUCGGAGACAGUGUCUGACGGGCAGUUUGACUGGGGCGGUCGCCUCCUAAAAGGUAACGGAGGCGCCCAAAGGUUCCCUCAGAAUGGUUGGAAAUCAUUCGCAGAGUGUAAAGGUAUAAGGGAGCUUGACUGCGAUAGCUACAACUCGAGCAGGGACGAAAGUCGGGCUUAGUGAUCCGGUGGUUCCGUAUGGAAGGGCCAUCGCUCAACGGAUAAAAGCUACCCUGGGGAUAACAGGCUUAUCUCCCCCAAGAGUUCACAUCGACGGGGAGGUUUGGCACCUCGAUGUCGGCUCGUCGCAUCCUGGGGCUGUAGUCGGUCCCAAGGGUUGGGCUGUUCGCCCAUUAAAGCGGCACGCGAGCUGGGUUCAGAACGUCGUGAGACAGUUCGGUCCCUAUCCGUCGCGGGCGUAGGAAAUUUGAGAGGAUCUGCUCCUAGUACGAGAGGACCAGAGUGGACUUACCGCUGGUGUACCAGUUGUCUUGCCAAAGGCAUCGCUGGGUAGCUAUGUAGGGAAGGGAUAAACGCUGAAAGCAUCUAAGUGUGAAACCCACCUCAAGAUGAGAUUUCCCAUGGUUAUAUAUCAGUAAGAGCCCUGAGAGACGAUCAGGUAGAUAGGUUAGAAGUGGAAGUGUGGCGACACAUGUAGCGGACUAAUACUAAUAGCUCGAGGACUUAUCCA
rnacentral:rRNA from 1 species